CUCCCAAACCCCUGUGAACAUACCUAUUGUUGCCUCGGCGGUGCCUGUUCCGACAGCCCGCCAGAGGACCCCAAACCCUGAUUACAUUAAAGAAUUCUUCUGAGUAACCGAUUAAAUAAAUCAAAACUUUCAACAACGGAUCUCUUGGUUCUGGCAUCGAUGAAGAACGCAGCGAAAUGCGAUAAGUAAUGUGAAUUGCAGAAUUCAGUGAAUCAUCGAAUCUUUGAACGCACAUUGCGCCCGCUAGUAUUCUGGCGGGCAUGCCUGUUCGAGCGUCAUUUCAACCCUCAAGCCCCCGGGCUUGGUGUUGGGGAUCGGCGAGCCUCCGCGCCCGCCGUCCCCUAAAUCUAGUGGCGGUCUCGCUGUAGCUUCCUCUGCGUAGUAGCACACCUCGCACUGGGAAACAGCGCGGCCACGCCGUUAAACACCCAACUUCUGAAAGUUUGACCUCGGAUCAGGUAGGAAUACCCGCUGAACUUAAGCAUAUCAAUAAGCGGAGGA
rnacentral:rRNA from 1 species